GGGUUCUACCGUUGGUCGGGCUUUGUCUGUACUGAUGUGUAGAAUUUCUACCUUCUGGGGAACCAUCAUGUUAUUAAUUUAGCGUGGUGGGAAACCAGGACCUUUACCUUGAAAAAAUUAGAGUGUUCAAAGCAGGCUUAUGUCUGAAUACAUUAGCAUGGAAUAAUAGAAUAGGACGGUGGUCCUGUUUUGUUGGUUUCUGAAUCACCGUA
rnacentral:rRNA from 1 species